UCUAGGGCAUUUCCACGUUUGGAAAGUGAAUGGACAAUAGCCAUAUCCUCCGUCGCCUUGUCUGAAUUAUCGCCUCCCGUACCCGCUCCUACUUUGAGCAUUUCUUUCUCCCUUCCGUUGUGCCUUCAUUUUUGCAUUUUUGACCUUCUAUCUUGGUCGAUUGUGGAGCUUAUCGAUUUUUCCUUGUGGUUAUUUUCUUUUCCAGGUGUGCUGGGCAGUGCUCCAAGGAAGAGGCUGAUCUGUGAUGGAGCUUCGCAGAGGUGUAAUCUUCGCCUUAAAUGAGUUAAAACUCUGCCCCAUUUUCGCUGAUAUGAAUCUUGCUUCAUGUAUGCUUGUUGUCUUCUCUUGAUCCAUGUAGCUUGCAGUUGUCUUGUAUUCUCCUUUGCUAUUAUUUCUAGUUUAGCUGGUAUGAUGUAAAUAAAGAAUAAUCUUAUAUAUAUAUUCCUUUGCAUAUCAGUGAGUCUGUGUUU
rnacentral:lncRNA from 1 species